CUCGGUGACAAUGGCGGAGGGGAAACACCCGUUUCCAUACCGAACACGGCAGUUAAGCCCUCCAGCGCCGAUGGUACUGCCGGGGGAACCCGGUGGGAGAGUAGGUCGUUGCCGAGU
rnacentral:rRNA from 1 species